CGGAAGACCCCUCCGUGUAGGCCCGGGAGCGGGUGGGAGCUCUGAGCCUGCCCCCCCGAUCCAGCAGGCGCCAGGCCCUCACCGCUGGCUUACACCCACAAACCUCAUCGCCAUGGAGACUGACCGCGCUCCCACCAAACCCCAAGCACCUUCAGGCAGCAGGUAGUUUCCCAAGGGAAACGAAACGCUGAGCUGCUGGCCUCCCUCUUGCCCAAACCCCCAGCUCCAGGAGGCGGUGGCUGAGGUCUCGCUCACAGGCCCCCGGGCAGCUGCAGGUGGAGGCACACGCGCCCUCAGGGACGCGGCGGAGGAACUGGUGGUCCAGCCUCCAGGACAGUUGGAACAUGGAGCAGCCUGGGCGGACCUUGGGGACCAAGUGGCCCUUACAUCACGACCUGGCAGCUAGCCCGUGAGGUAGCACCAUCGUCCCCACUUUACAGGCUCCGAGAAAGGAGGUGUUCACCUAAGACAUCCUUAGCUGAAAUACAUAAUUGUACAGGACUUCACAGCUUACAAAGCGCCCUGAUACAAAACAAGAGAAUUUGUUCUUCAAACGGCACCCCAGGGAUGGUGGUGGCAAUGACACGAUGGCAUUUCACAGGUGGCGGUUGGGUGACUCUCUGCUCCGAGUGUGGGCUGAGGACCGGCAGCAACGGCACCAGCUUGCUGCUGGUUGCAAAGGCAGAGUUGUGGGCCCGGCCCCAGGCCCGCUGCAUCGGAAUCUGCAUUUUAUUGAGGUUCCUGGGUGAGUGGAUACCCAUGAAGAUUUGAGAAGUACUGUCUUACAGCCUCCACUCCCCCCCAACCACCAUUUUACAUUUCUGGGAAGCUGAAACCCAGAGAGGGCAAAUGAUUGUGCAAAGUCACACAGCAAAUUGGUGGCCAGGCCAGGCCCAGAGCUCUGCUCUGUACCGGGUGGAGUGAGGAACCAAGGUCUCCCAGGGCAGGGCUCCUUCCACCUCAGGACCCAUGGUCUUGUGCCCACUCACCUCCCGCUGCUCCUUAAGCUGGGCAGGCUGGCUGAGCCCCCUUCUGACCACCUCCAAGAAGGUACGGCAAAUCCAAAGGACAUUUCUGGGGAAAAAAAAAAACACAACAAACAAACAAAAAGAAAAAACUAAGCCUCCUGUUGAAUCCUGGAAGACCCGACCAAUGAGGGAGAUAGAUGGACCUUCAGAAUCCAGUUCUAGGCCAGUAGCGCUGAUGGAUAACCCGACCAGAGCCCUGGGCUGGUUCCCUUCCUCGACAGUCCCUCAGUUUACCCGUCUGAAAAGGGAAUAUGGGGGGGCCUCCCAAGGCUGCUAAAACUGCCCUGGUUUUCAG
rnacentral:lncRNA from 1 species